GGCAGUGAUUAUAUAAUAACAGAUGGGGGACGAAAUCAACACGUUUAGCUUGUGUGUGUGUGUGUUUGGGAGAGUUGGAGCCGGCAGACGGGCUGCACCUGUCAGAAGAGCGACGGUAGUGCUAAUUAGCACACCAGAAACUCUGAAAAAGACUAUAGUCUAUUGUACAGCAACAGCAACGUCCUGCUGUCAUUCCCUGAGCUCGUCUCACACUCGAGGCCAUUACAGAAGAGACGGGGGUGAGAGAGCGGAUGGGAGACCGACACCUCGGAGUUAAAGGUGGCAGCGGGGGUGCUGACAGAUCUUCCCAGAUGCUUUAUUCGCAGUGUCGGGAUUUGCCGAGUGAAAAUUAGACAGGCUUCCGGUCGUGUUAGGGGUUCAGCCAGUUGGAAAUGUGUGCAGUGGGAACAAAGUCUAUAAACUCAGCAUUAUCGUUACGAACGUCACG